rnacentral:lncRNA from 1 species
GGCGAGCUUCAGGUCCCCGCCGUUGAGUUUGUACACGACCUCCGCCGCGGCGGUGGUGUCCUUGUCCACCUUGAGCGCGGCGCCAGCCUUGAUCGUCGACAGUGCGUCGGAGAGGACGGCGGAGAGGACGAGGUCAUCGGCGGCGAGUUGAGCGGCGACCGCGUACGAGACGACGCCUUUGGCGGCGUCCACCGCCGCCUCUGCUCCAACCUGCGAUGAUUAAUGCGUUCAUUCGAUGUCAGGGAUCGUCGAACGGGCGUUUGGCGAGGGUUUGGCGACGGGUUUGGCGGGGAAAAAAAAAACCAAAAAAAGUUCCCCUACAAGGCGGCGUCGUUGUUCGCACCUGCGCGUCGCCGAGGUUGAGGCACGCGGACGCCUCCACCUUGGGGUUGCCCCCGAGGCAGUUGGAAACGUCCGCCUUGACUCCGACGUCUCCGGAGAGCAGCGUGUUGGCGAGCUUGAGCGAUUUAGCGACGUCCGACGGGUUCACGGAAGCGACAGUC